rnacentral:rRNA from 1 species
AUACGGAGGGUGCAAGCGUUAAUCGGAAUUACUGGGCGUAAAGCGUACGUAGGCGGUUAUUUAAGUCAGAUGUGAAAGCCCCGGGCUUAACCUGGGAACUGCAUUUAAAACUGGCGGACUAGAGUUGAGUAGAGGGGAGUGGAAUUUCAGGUGUAGCGGUGAAAUGCGUAGAGAUCUGAAGGAACACCAGUGGCGAAGGCGACUCCCUGGACUCGAACUGACGCUGAGGUACGAAAGCGUGGGUAGCAAACGGGAUUAGAUACCCCGGUAGUCC